CUUUGUUUUUAACAAAGUAAAUACCACUUUGUCAAUAACCUCUGUAGAUGAAUGAAACAAAACUGCAUCCUAUGGCUAAGAGCACAAAGUAAAAAACAAAGUACAGUAAAAUCAAUAACUGUGGGAAGCACUUUGGUUAAUUGGCAUGUCUUCUGUUAAAUAAUGUUGCUUGAAGUAUAUGGUCACUGGUGUUUUAUUAUUUGUCCUAUAAGCUCAAUCAUGAUAUGAGAUAGGGUAGAUGCUUAUGCAUGCAUGCAUGAUGGUGCAAGGCCUAAUGCAUAAAUUUGCCCUUGAACCAAUUAUGGAAGCCUAUUACACCACUAACUUUCAAUUUUGACCUUUAUAUUUUUUUUCCUUUGUGUUCUAUUACACCACUAACUUGAUGAGCAUCUUAUGCAACAUGUUAAUUUUUUUUAUUUGAUUCUGAAAGUUGCAUGUUUGCCCUGGCUGAAGUUGAGGCUUUAUCAACACAUUAUUGAUCCAAGCUUGAUGGUUUUUAUUUUUUUGAUGCAGCAAAGAGAGUGACAAUAUUAACAAGUCCAAUAAUGAAUGGAAACCUUCUCAGAGACCUGAGCUUGUGAAUGAUGAGUUUGGGCAAAGACAAAAGCCUCGCAGAUACUCAGAGAUGGAUUUUAAGCAGCCAAGUACAAGUACUUAGAUAAGGAGGACCAUAUUUGAAUAAGCAUAUAAAGGUUAAGUUCGGUUCAGUUAUGCUUUUAUAUCCUUGGAAGGCUUCAAGAUCCUUAGUUGUGGUUUUGUGGUGAUGCAGGCCGUUGAUCUGGCCCCUUGUGUUCUCCAACGUCUGUUCUGGAGUGCUUUGGGCUGCAAUAUGCUCCAGGAUAUUUUAGGUAACUGCAUUUUGGCCUCUUGACCAUUUUAAGGGAAUCUCCCUUGCCAUUUUUUUUCAAAUUUUAAUUAUUUUGUCAGCAUCAAGUUCCUUGAGAAUUUUGAUAUUGAUUCAAUUUUUAUAUAUAUAUAUAUUUUAGUAGUUAGUAGAACCUUGAAAAUUAUAACUCUUCUAUCAUUAGUUUUAAUUAAGAUUAUGGUGUACCCUUUUAACUAGCUAGUUUAAUUGUACUUCCUCAUUCCUUGGUCAUUAACUAUCCUUCACCUGCUGUUUGAAUGCUGCAGUUGUAUGAUAAAAACACCUGCUCAUGCUGCAUUCAAUUUAAGAACAAAAUUGUGGCUUGACGGGUGGUAGUUUCUUGUUUAAAUGUGAGGGUUUCUUGUGGUUUGGUUUUUUAGUGAAGCUUGAGAGAAAUGUAUGCGGGCUUCUCCAAAAACUAUAUACUAAAAAAAUUUGAAGAAGAACAAGAACUAUUGUGCAGAAGCUGUUUGGUGGGUAACGUUGAGUUUUCCUAUUUAUAUAAGUAGAUGGUGUUUGAGUUUUCGAACCGACUUUUGAUGACCUUAACUUUGUGGUUGAGUCUGGUUUCGAGAGUACUUUUUAAUGUGGGAUUUCUAUUUAGAUGAGGACUGCCUACUUGGUAAGAUACUGCAGGGUAGAGAAUUUAAUUGUUAAGUGGACAAAUAUUGUGUUGACAUAUGCUUUUUAAAGCUAUGGAGUGGGCUAUGAUUUAAAUGUUACUCUUGUUCAUGUUAUGAAGAAAUUGAGGCAAUAAAUUUUCUGUGCCAUAUUAAUAUUUUACUUGAGUUUGAUGGAAAGACAGGAACUUGAUUAUUUUUGCUAUGCCUCAGCAUCUGAUUAAGCAGUCUGGUGUCGCCUGUUGAGGGAAGAUGGGCAGUGGCAGAUGGUAGUUUGAAUUUGGAGCUUUCUGAGGUGUUUGUGACCUAUAAAUUCAAUCAAUGAUGCAUUGCGGAUCAACUCAUCCGGAUAAGGGGGUUAGAAUGGUAUUUUCACAUCUUAAUUACAUUAAUAAGAGAUUAAUUAAAUAAUUGCUAUUAUGUAAUGACAUGAAUGCUCUCUAUUGUGAACAAGGGUAACUUUUGAAAGAUGGAAUUUGAAAGUCAGUUUAUAUUUGAUUAUAGAGCUAUAUUCAAUGGCUAUUAGUGUUGAACUAAUAUAUUCC
rnacentral:misc_RNA from 1 species